UACGUAGGGGGCAAGCGUUAUCCGGAUUUACUGGGUGUAAAGGGAGCGUAGACGGCAGAGCAAGUCUGAAGUGAAAGCCCGCGGCCCAACUGCGGGACUGCUUUGGAAACUGCCCGGCUAGAGUGCUGGAGAGGUAAGCGGAAUUCCUAGUGUAGCGGUGAAAUGCGUAGAUAUUAGGAGGAGCACCAGUGGCGAAGGCGGCUUACUGGACAGUAUCUGACGUUGAGGCUCGAAAGCGUGGGGAGCAAACAGG
rnacentral:rRNA from 1 species